rnacentral:lncRNA from 11 species
GACUAUCUGUCUUCAGAGCCUUAACUACGACCUCAGAGUGCAACACUCAUGAUGUAUGUUUUCCAGAAACAAUUCCCUGGGAUGGAUUUGAAGGGUCGGAUAUUAGGAAUGUCUUUACUUCUGGGCAAUGGUUAGAAGCUGACGCCAGGCUCCACAAAUCCUACUAUGACAUUGUGAAGAUUGGCCUGGAGCCCAGGCCGAAGCCACGCACCAUCAGCCUGCAAGACAUCCGCUACGCUCUGAAGACUGACUUAAAGGAUUUGCUCCAGCCUCACAGGAAUUGUGGGCCACUAAAGACUGAGACCCCUCCUGACAUCAAUAUCUGCUUGCCAUCAGCCUCUGUUGCCUCAUUGAAGAUACCAGAAGCUCAAGAAGAGCCAGACCAAACUGCCAGGAGUUUCACUACUGUGUCGAGAUGUGCGGCUUCCUGUGACGUUGGCGGUGCUGUCGUCCAUGACCUCCGGCCUGCAGUUCGCAUGGCUCAGUCGAGCCCGGUCCUGGAUCCCAGCAUACGGGGCGAUGCCAGUGAUGCCAGCGACAGCCUUUGCAGCUUUGUGAUCAACGAGAUCUAUACCUGCUACUCGGAUUUAUGUGAGGAGGGUGUGGAGGAUGAAGAAGAAGAAGAACUGAGGAAGCAGGGCCCCAAAACCCAAAGGGAGUUGCAAACUGACCCAAGAGAUAGGGCUGAAACCCAGUCACCAGAACCCACCAAACUCCAGAAUUGGCAGAGGAGCCUCAGCGAGGAAAGCAACUCUGACACGGAAGCCGAGUGUCAGGAAGAGGAGCUGGAGUUCCCUCAGAGUCCCGCUGGACAGACGACAGGUUAUGACAGCAACAGAGGCAAGAUGAGUCUGUCCUCAUUUGAGCAGAGUUUUGGAAAGUGUGUCCUAACUCUAACCAUUUGUCAGACGAAGCUGCGGGAAGCAACAGAAUCUCUCUGCCGCACGGAAAACCUCUUGGAUAUAGCGGACGCCAACCCACAGUGGUACCAACUGUUUCCAAGGGCCCCACAGGAACAACCACGCAGCACCUCUGCUUCUCUCCAGGCCCAUGCUGAGAAAGUGAACGCUGCCUUGAGAAAUCUUAAGGUGCCCUACGCCGGAGAUAGGGUGCUCCUCUGGAAAGCAGUGGGCCCUCCGUCAAGGAACUAUAUCCCUCCGCCGCUACGCAGUCUGGACAACUUCCAGCCUGUGGUCAUUCCUUCUUUCCAACUUCUAGAAAAGGAGUGCAAAGACAGCCAAAGCCAAGACACCACAUGCUGGAGUGAUUUUGGAUUAGAAGUGCCUGAAAAGCUUGGGGGCAGAGGCGGAGCAGAGCCAAACUAUCAGGUUUUGCAUCCAGGUGUGACCAUCAGAAGGAAGAAGACCACAAGCCCCCAGCCGCAUUGUGGGAGCCCCAAAGUGGAUGGAGCAAAUGCUUCUGAGGGGUUCUCUUCCAAAUCCAUCCCUGCAAUGUAUGAAGCCAGUCUGAGGAGGGAAGAGAGGAGAAUGGUGCAACCUGAGUGGACAAUGGAAGUGAAGCAGAUGGCCAAAAAGACCGCUUCUGGUCAUCUUGGCCACCCUGCUCAGUACCCUCCUUCGAGUGGCUGGACCUCGGAGAGCGAAACAGAAAGCCAGCAGAGCCCCUCCAGCCGAGAACAAUUCUGGCGCUGCCCCCCAAAUACUGCAGCAGGAAGACAGCAAAUUGGCUGCGGAGUUGGGGACCACAAGCUGUUCUUUGACUCCGAAGAGGAGAAAGUGCCGAAAAGAACUGCGGGGACCCAGAGCCAAAGUAAGAACGAGGACAGAGUGACCGUACCUGUAACAACCCCCUCCCUGUUCAUUUGCUUUGAUGCCAGAAUGAAGAAGGGGGCCAGGAAGACAUCAUUCCACCAUGUCUCCUGUGUCAAUAUAACAAUAUAAUAAUAUAUACAAUAGAGUCUCACUUAUCCAACAUAAACGGGCCUGCAAAACAUUGGAUAAGCGAAAAUUUUGGAUAAGAAAAGCCUAUUAAACAUCAAAUUAAGUUAUGAUUUUACAAAUUAAGCACCAAAACAUCAUGCUUUACAACAAAUUGAUAGAAAAAGCAGCUCAGUACAUGAUAACGUUAUGUAAUAAUUACUGUAUUUAUGAAUUUUGCACCAAAAUAUCGCAAUUUAUUGAAAAAUUAGAUAAUCUGUGGAAAGGCCUGAGGCCUAAGUCUGCCUGUCCCCUAACUGAAUCCUGGCUGUCCCUUGGCUGAGUUGGUUGCUAGGAGACCAAGUGGGCAGAGAUUAGCCCUCUUAACUGGCAGCAAUUGGAUAAAAACAAUUAUUGCUCUCCCUCUAAUUAGUACUUUAUUUUUCUUUUCUUUUUGUUGUAUCAACCUAGAGGCGUGGAUGAUAGGUUGUGUUGUCAAAUUUUGAGGUUGAGGGGCCUGUAGUUUUGUUGUUUUGUCGGUCGUCAUGAUGCCAUCACUCAUUUAUAUAUAUAGAUUGAUAUUGAUAUAAUAUUGAUAAUAAUAUUAUAACGUAAUACAAUAUAAUAAUAAUAAUACACUAUUAUAAUUGUGUAUUUAUAUUACAUGUAAUAUUACUAAUAAUAUUGCAAUAUAGCGGUAUGGUACAGUAUAGUAAUAUAUAAUACAGUAGAGUCUCACUUAUCCAAGCCUCGCUUAUCCAAUGUUCUGGAUUAUCCAAUGCAUUUUUGUAGUCAAUGUUUUCAAUAUAUCGUGAUAUUUUGGUGCUAAAUUCAUAAAUACAGUAAUUACAACAUAACAUUACUGCGUAUUGAACUACUUUUUCUGUUAAAUUUGUUGUACAACAUGUUUUGGUGCUUAAUUUGUAAAAUCAUAACCUAAUUUGAUGUUUAAUAGGCUUUUCCUUAAUCUCUCCUUAUUAUCCAGCAUAUUCACUUAUCCAACAUUCUGCCG